rnacentral:pre_miRNA from 11 species
CUCGUUGUUCCUUUUUCCUAUGCAUAUACUUCUUUGAGAAUUAGAUCUAAAGAAGCAUAGGGCAUGGGAAAAUGGGGCAACUGAAGU